GGGCGUAUAGCUCAGUCGGUAGAGCACCGAGCUUAUAUCUCGGCGGUCCCAGGUUCAAGUCCUGGUGCGCCCACAA
rnacentral:tRNA from 1 species